rnacentral:snoRNA from 1 species
AGCACUUGUGUUUGUUUUAAAGUUGCGAAGACUUAUAGACAAGGGCAAAAAAUAAAUCCUCUUUUGCAACCCAGAACUCACUGUUCAGUAUGAGUUUUGAUAAAAUACUAUAGAAAAAG